rnacentral:rRNA from 1 species
GACGUAGGGCGCGAGCGUUGUCCGGAUUUAUUGGGCGUAAAGAGCUCGUAGGCGGCUUGUUGCGUCGACCGUGAAAACCCGGGGCUCAACUUCGGGCUUGCGGUCGAUACGGGCGGGCUAGAGUUCGGUAGGGGGAGACGUGAAUUCCUGGUGUAGCGGUGAAAUGCGCAGAUAUCAGGAGGAACACCGGUGGCGAAGGCGGGUCUCUGGGCCGGAACUGACGCUGAGGAGCGAAAGCGUGGGGAGCGAACAGG